CAUCCCUUCAGGACUAUUACAUUCAAACAGAAUUCGGCAGUGUCUGACUAAGUGACCUGAUCAGGGGUAACUCAUCUCAGCCCUUAUCACAUCUUCACUUGUCACAUCCGCACUUUAAAAAAGGAUUACGUUCAACUGCUCUGUUCAAAGUUAGUUCUGUACCAUGAACAACAGUUCAGGCUCUAAAUGUUCUUUUCUUUUUUUUUUUUAAAUCGAGCAUUAGUUAAUCGCCAGAUCAAUGACAUGACAGAUAAACCAAUCGGAGCGGGGAAUUUGUUUUAUACUUUACUAGAAUGGCGCCGGCGGUAUUUAAUCGAACACAGUAGAAAGUCAAUAAAGGACAACCCAUCCACGUGGCUUGGCUGUAAUGAACAAAUUGCCAAUGAGAAGGAUAUAAACAGAGGUUCCGAGAGACUGCAGAAAUCGCGAAUAAAAAAAGUUUUGGUAUUGAAUGUCUGUGCAAGUUUCCUUUUCAGUUAUGAAAAACAUGAUUCUUUUCUCGACUCUUGUUUUGCUUUUUCGACUUGCAUCAUAUACUUGCAAAGCACAAAAGUGUAAUUUGGAAGGAAAAUGGAUAAAUGAUCUUGGAUCCAACAUGAUUAUUUACAAGAGAAAUAACAAGGGAAUCUUCUUUGGCUCAUACUUCACUGCAGUGACAACAGAAAAGAACGUGAAAAUUACUCCAUCGCCCAUCUCUGGAGUUGUACAUAAUUCUUCUGAGCCGGUAUUUGCUUUCCUUGUUAAGUGGUCUUUCUCAGGUAAAGCAAUACUUUUGUCCAUUGCACAGUAUAUCAGAAACUCCUAGCACUAUGAGCACUUGUAUAA